rnacentral:antisense_RNA from 1 species
UUCUAUGGCGGGCCGUGGUGGGGGCGUGCUUGCACGCGCCGGUUCCUCUAUGCCGGUCCGCCAACCCUGCCACGUGCCUGCCUCCCUG